rnacentral:lncRNA from 1 species
GAACGAUCUAAAGGUUCUUCCGACGUAAUAUGACGAGCAGAAAAUUUGCUGGUAUGGCAUUUGAGCUCAUUCUGUUAAUAUCCCAUAGUUGCCUGACCGUUUGAACAUUUAAUACGGAGUUUGAUCAGUACAAUAUUCUUAAAUAUUAAACACGUGUUUCUCAAU